GGACAUGGAAUCAUAUCUCUAUACCCACAAGGGUCCCAUCUCUCUCAAUAUAGAAAAAAAAAUUGUCCAUCCCUCAAUCAAAACUUUGCCCCCAAUGAAAAGCAAUGGAGCAUCUUUUACACCAUUUUGCAGCCAGUAAACAAAGCAGAGGUGAAUCUUGAACCCCAUGCAACAUUUUGAACCAGCAUGCGAAGUCGAGGUGAAUCUUGAAUUGAAUCUAAAAGGCCUACAAUGGCGUACUAGCUGGUGGGGCAUGUUAUCAUCGCUUCAGAUUGUUCGUCUUUUUUAUAGUUUUGCCACCCAUGCCUUUACUCUUCUUGGUAUUCUGUUUUUUCCCGCCCUGCCCAU
rnacentral:lncRNA from 1 species